rnacentral:rRNA from 1 species
GUGCCUAAUACAUGCAAGUCGAGCGCGAGAAUGAGGAGCUUGCUCCUCAUGAUCGAGCGGCGGACGGGUGAGUAACACGUAGGCAACCUACCCUUGAGAUUGGGAUAACUACCGGAAACGGUAGCUAAUACCGGAUACGACAUAGUCACAUAAGUGACUCUGUUAAAAGGCGGAUUUAUCUGCCGCUCAUGGAUGGGCCUGCGGUGCAUUAGCUAGUUGGUGAGAUAGAAGCUCACCAAGGCGACGAUGCAUAGCCGACCUGAGAGGGUGAUCGGCCACACUGGGACUGAGACACGGCCCAGACUCCUACGGGAGGCAGCAGUAGGGAAUCUUCCGCAAUGGACGAAAGUCUGACGGAGCAACGCCGCGUGAGUGAUGAAGGGUUCCGGCUCGUAAAACUCUGUUGUUAAGGAAGAAUACUUGAGGUAGUAACUGGCCUUGAGAUGACGGUACUUAACCAGAAAGCCACGGCUAACUACGUGCCAGCAGCCGCGGUAAUACGUAGGUGGCAAGCGUUAUCCGGAAUUAUUGGGCGUAAAGCGCGCGUAGGCGGUAAAAUAAGUCUGAUGUGAAAGCCCCCGGCUCAACCGGGGAGGGUCAUUGGAAACUGUUUUACUUGAGUACAGAAGAGGAGAGUGGAAUUCCAUGUGUAGCGGUGAAAUGCGCAGAGAUAUGGAGGAACACCAGUGGCGAAGGCGGCUCUCUGGUCUGUAACUGACGCUGAGGUGCGAAAGCGUGGGGAUCAAACAGGAUUAGAUACCCUGGUAGUCCACGCCGUAAACGAUGAGUGCUAAGUGUUGGGGGGUUUCCGCCCCUCAGUGCUGCAGCUAACGCAUUAAGCACUCCGCCUGGGGAGUACGGCCGCAAGGCUGAAACUCAAAUGAAUUGACGG